rnacentral:rRNA from 1 species
GAUGAACGCUGGCGGCGUGCCUAAUACAUGCAAGUCGAGCGAACGGACGAGAAGCUUGCUUCUCUGAUGUUAGCGGCGGACGGGUGAGUAACACGUGGAUAACCUACCUAUAAGACUGGGAUAACUUCGGGAAACCGGAGCUAAUACCGGAUAAUAUUUUGAACCGCAUGGUUCAAAAGUGAAAGACGGUCUUGCUGUCACUUAUAGAUGGAUCCGCGCUGCAUUAGCUAGUUGGUAAGGUAACGGCUUACCAAGGCAACGAUGCAUAGCCGACCUGAGAGGGUGAUCGGCCACACUGGAACUGAGACACGGUCCAGACUCCUACGGGAGGCAGCAGUAGGGAAUCUUCCGCAAUGGGCGAAAGCCUGACGGAGCAACGCCGCGUGAGUGAUGAAGGUCUUCGGAUCGUAAAACUCUGUUAUUAGGGAAGAACAUAUGUGUAAGUAACUGUGCACAUCUUGACGGUACCUAAUCAGAAAGCCACGGCUGACUACGUG